rnacentral:rRNA from 1 species
AGUGAACGCUGGCGGUAGGCCUAACACAUGCAAGUCGAACGGCAGCACAGUAAGAGCUUGCUCUUACGGGUGGCGAGUGGCGGACGGGUGAGGAAUACAUCGGAAUCUACUUUUUCGUGGGGGAUAACGUAGGGAAACUUACGCUAAUACCGCAUACGACCUACGGGUGAAAGCAGGGGAUCUUCGGACCUUGCGCGAUUGAAUGAGCCGAUGUCGGAUUAGCUAGUUGGCGGGGUAAAGGCCCACCAAGGCGACGAUCCGUAGCUGGUCUGAGAGGAUGAUCAGCCACACUGGAACUGAGACACGGUCCAGACUCCUACGGGAGGCAGCAGUGGGGAAUAUUUGACAAUGGGCGCAAGCCUGAUCCGGCCAUACCGCGUGGGUGAAGAAGGCCUUCGGGUUGUAAAGCCCUUUUGUUGGGAAAGAAAAGCAGCAGGUUAAUACCCCGCUGUUCUGACGGUACCCAAAGAAUAAGCACCGGCUAACUUCGUG